rnacentral:lncRNA from 1 species
GGAGAGAGGAGAGCGAGGUCUCCUCAAUUUCUGUCCUUGUAAAUUCUCCCCAUUUGUCCACGUUAACAGGCUAGGGAAAAGCCCCAAAAUGUGCUCCCGUGGCCACCCACAGGUCCAGGUUCUUCUCUUCUUUCUGUUCCAGAUCCUUCUCUCUUAGGAGACUAAGCAGCUCGGCUCAUUGUCUCCCAGCGAGAGGUCAGUGCCUCUCUGGUGUGCACUGUUUGCUCCAUCCCUUAGGACAUUCUCCUCCGGCCAGGUCCUUGCUCCCUGCCCCGGCCUUGGCCUCCACAGCUUUGUGCCCACCUCAGGCUCACUCACUUUCUCACUCUGAGACUACCCUCAUUAGCAUACUCUCCACCAUCAGCAGGCCCUGGAGGGAUGUGUGUGGUGCUCCAGAUUCCACUGAAAAAGUACGUUUGUCUUCCAGACAUCUAGGGGAAGAGCUGGCAAGAAGAGGGGCUGCAAAUUGUCAACGUUGUUCUAUUUUUAUGCAAUAAAUGUUACACAGAAAUAGUCAUGUUUUAACGGAAACAAAUGCUACUAUUACUUAACAAAGGUUAACAAUAAAAGGCAUUAUU